AGAGUUUGAUCAUGGCUCAGGAUGAACGCUGGCGGCGUGCCUAACACAUGCAAGUCGAGCGAUCUUCUUCGGAAGAGAGCGGCGGACGGGUGAGUAACGCGUGGGUAACCUGCCUCAUACACAUGGAUAACAUACCGAAAGGUAUGCUAAUACAAGAUGAUAUAAGAGAUUCGCAUGGAUUUCUUAUCAAAGCUCCGGCGGUAUGAGAUGGACCCGCGUCUGAUUAGCUAGUUGGUAAGGUAACGGCUUACCAAGGCGACGAUCAGUAGCCGACCUGAGAGGGUGAUCGGCCACAUUGGAACUGAGACACGGUCCAAACUCCUACGGGAGGCAGCAGUGGGGAAUAUUGCACAAUGGGCGAAAGCCUGAUGCAGCAACGCCGCGUGAGCGAUGAAGGCCUUCGGGUCGUAAAGCUCUGUCCUCAAGGAAGAUAAUGACGGUACUUGAGGAGGAAGCCCCGGCUAACUACGUGCCAGCAGCCGCGGUAAUACGUAGGGGGCUAGCGUUAUCCGGAUUUACUGGGCGUAAAGGGUGCGUAGGUGGUUUCUUAAGUCAGGAGUGAAAGGCUACGGCUCAACCGUAGUAAGCUCUUGAAACUGGGAAACUUGAGUGCAGGAGAGGAAAGUGGAAUUCCUAGUGUAGCGGUGAAAUGCGUAGAUAUUAGGAGGAACACCAGUAGCGAAGGCGGCUUUCUGGACUGUAACUGACACUGAGGCACGAAAGCGUGGGGAGCAAACAGGAUUAGAUACCCUGGUAGUCCACGCCGUAAACGAUGAGUACUUAGGUGUCGGGGGUUACCCCCCUCGGUGCCGCAGCU
rnacentral:rRNA from 1 species